GACUCACAUGGGUUUGUUUUGAAUGGUGUCUGUUUGACAGUUCUGCUGUUGCUAUCAUUCGUCUCAGUUUGAAACGCCAGCAUUUACAGAAAUAUGUUGCCCACGGACGGAGUCACGUGUUUCCCCGGUCAGACGUGGGAAAAAGUUCUGUCAAAGGUAAAAAAAAAAAAAAAAAAAAUGCUGUUGUUUAAUGGAUGAUCGCUGUUCUGAGAGUCUGCACUGGAAGGGAGGAGCUGCGCUUCUGGCUCGAGCUCGAAACAUCAAACAAUUCUCAAGCUUUGAAGCAGGUGGACAGAAUGAAUCCAAAGCUGUGUUUGUGGUCAGCAUCGUUCUGAAAGGUAAAACGGCAGACAUUAUCAAAGACAUGAUUUCCCUCAGUCGCUUCAAUUACUGCGUGGUUUUCACAACUAUUCCGCACUCCAUUCACCUGCUUGUGAAUAAUGUGACCACUGAUCUGGAGGAAAACCCGGUGAUUGAGCGGUUUGAAGAGAAACUGUGUGAGUGGAUGGGUGAUAUAUGAACCAUACUGCUGAGGUGAUGCGUAGCCUACUCGCCUGUGGUCUUCGCCCCCUCUGAAACAGCACCUUCACCUUUUUAACUGCUUUCUCUGAUCUCUUCCCUUUAUUGAAAGUGGAUCUUGAGUCCAUCAACGAGAAAAGGCUGGAAUGGAUGUGGAUAUGCACUCUCUGUCAUCUGAGCUGCAGAUUCAGAUUAAAUCUCUCGCAUCAGCCAUCAACACCCUGUUUGAGUUCAUCGGUACCCGUGAGGAGAGCUGUUCUGUGAGUCCGAUGAGCCGUCUGAUCGCAGAUCUGCCACUACACGGUUGCUAUGGGAGACAAUGCUGGUUGCUAAGCAAAAGGAGGCAGUGAUGGAAGUGAGGAGGCAACUGGUCAAGGCAGUCAGCAAAGAAAACCUGCCAAUCAAAAUAGGGCGGGUUACAGCCAAACAGCUUUGUUCAUAUGUGCAGUUGGGGUCCCUGGAAAGCCACAGUGGGGUCCUACAGCUGGGACUGGCUGCUGCUCAAGCUCUCUGUCAUCCCACCCUCACACGCUGGGACGCCUGCCUUGCCUUUGAGAGACUCCUCCUGCAGGUCUUGGGGGACUCGGACCUGGAAGAGGUUCUGAAAUAGAUUCUUCCCCUCAUAAAGUCUAGUUCAGGCCCUGGUGAGCUGAGUGUGGAUGAUCUUCUGGUGCUGCUGGUUUAUGUGUACUCUAUGGCCCAGGAAGCAUGUCUGGGAGGUGUUGAGGAGGAAAAACAUGUUGCGAAGGAGGAAAAAGAGUUGAUUGGUGCUUUGACACUCUGACUCACCUGGCAGACCUCGUUAAGCCCUCUGCUGCAGGAGAUCACAGGUCACCCGACCCCACCCAAAUGAUGCAUCCACUCUUGUUUCUCUUCCUGGUGGGUGGAGUCACACCGCCAGAGCUCCGCCUCAUUCAUGAAGUUGUCUCCACCCAUAAUUAUGGUAUUUAGGUACUCCUAAUGUCCACUAGACUGCUGAGACCUUCCGAUGUCCCUUACUUACUCUUCAGCACUGCCAGACUCAAACCUGGCAUUGGAGUGUGAAGGGACUGGACACACACACUUCUAACUGUUGAAUUGAUUCUUUCCAACAUUGUUUGCCUUUUUCAAUGGUAUCAUGCAUUUGAAAAGUUUUGAGCAAUGUACCGAGCAUGCUUCUGUUCCUAAUUAA